GUUUGAUUCUGGCUCAGAACGAACGCUGGCAGCGUGGAUUAGGCAUGCAAGUCGAACGGGAACCCGUUGGUUCAAUUCUUCGGAAGAGAACCGGCGGGGGAGAGUGGCAAAAGGGUGAGUAACGCGUGGGUAACCUACCCUCGAGUUGGGGAUAACUCCGCGAAAGUGGGGCUAAUACCGAAUGUGAUCCUCCCGCAUAGGCGGGAAAGAUCAAAGGCGGGACCUUUCGGGGCCUGUCGCUUGAGGAGGGGCCCGCGUACCAUCAGCUUGUUGGUGAGGUAACGGCUCACCAAGGCUUACGGUUAGCUGGUCUGAGAGGAUGGUCAGCCACACUGGGACUGAGACACUGCCCAGACUCCUACGGGAGGCUGCAGUCGAGGAUCAUUUACAAUGCGCGAAAGCGUGAUAAUGCGACGCUGCGUGGAGGAUGAAGGCCUUCGGGUCGUAAACUCCUGUCAUUCGGGAAAAACUGUCCCCGUACCAAUAUUGCGGGGGCGUGAUGGUACCGGAAGAGGAAGCCACGGCUAACUCUGUGCCAGCAGCCGCGGUAAUACAGAGGUGGCGAGCGUUGUUCGGAUUUACUGGGCGUAAAGGGUGCGUAGGUGGUAUCGUAUGUCGGAUGUGAAAGUCCGUGGCUCAACUGCGGAAGUGCAUCUGAAACCGCGAAACUUGAGUGCAGGAUGGGAGAGCGGAAUUCUUGGUGUAGCGGUGAAAUGCGUUGAUAUCAAGAAGAACACCGGUGGCGAAGGCGGCUCUCUGGAAUGCUACUGACACUGAGGCACGAAAGCUGGGGGAGCAAACAGGAUUAGAUACCCUGGUAGUCCCAGCCGUAAACGGUGCGCACUUGGUGUAGGGGGUAUUGACCCCCCCUGUGCCGGAGUUAACGCGUUAAGUGCGCCGCCUGGGGAGUACGGCCGCAAGGUUAAAACUCAAAGAAAUUGACGGGGGCCCGCACAAGCGGAGGAGCAUGUGGCUUAAUUCGAUGCAACGCGAAGAACCUUACCAGGGCUUGACAUGGGGACCCUUCGGGGGUGUCGGCGAAAGUCGGCUUUACCAUCACAGGUGCUGCAUGGCUGUCGUCAGUUCGUGCCGUGAGGUGUUGGGUUAAGUCCCGCAGCGAACGCAACCCCUGUGCUUAGUUGCCACCAUGGGUGAUGAGCCCGUGAGCACUCUAAGCAGACUGCCCGUACAAGCGGGAGGAAGGUGGGGACGACGUCAAGUCAGUAUGGCCCUUACGUCCUGGGCUGCACACGUGCUACAAUGGUCGGUACAGAAGGACGCAAGACCGCGAGGUGGAGCAAAUCCUGAAAACCGGCCUCAGUUCGGAUUGGAGUCUGCAACUCGACUCCAUGAAGUCGGAUUCGCUAGUAACGGCGUAUCAGCAACGGCGCCGUGAAUACGUUCCCGGGCCUUGUACACACCGCCCGUCACAUCAUGAAAGCCGUCUGCACCCGAAGUCGCUGAGCUAAUCUAUCAUUAGAUGGAAGGCAGGCGCCGAAGGUGUGGGUGGUGAUUGGGAUGAAGUCGUAACAAGGUA
rnacentral:rRNA from 1 species